CCCGACUGCUAUUUGGGUGAGGAUAAGCCAUGCGAGUUGAAUGGGAUACCUAAAUUUCCCAUGGCAAACUGCUCAGUAACACAUGAUCAACUUACCCUAUAGAGAAAAAUAACUCGGGAAACUGAGGAUAAUAUUUCAUAGUUGAAUAGGCUUGGAAAAGUUUUUCAAUAAAAGGGAUAAAAAAAAUGGUUUUUAUCUGCUAUAGGAUAGGAUCGUGGACGAUUAUGGUUGUUGGUGAGGUAACGGCUCACCAAGCCGAUAAUCGAUAGGGGCCGUGAGAGCGGGAGCCCCGAGAUGGGUACUGAGACAACGACCCAGGCCUUACGAGGCGCAGCAGGCGCGGAACCUCCGCAAUACACGAAAGUGUGACGGGGUUACCCAAAGUGUUCAAUUCUGAACUGUGGUAGAUGAGUAAUGUUCCCUACUAGAAAGGAGAGGGCAAGGCUGGUGCCAGCCGCCGCGGUAAAACCAGCUCUUCAAGUGGUCGGGAUAAUAUUGGGCUUAAAGUGUCCGUAGCCGGUUUAGUAAGUUCCUGGUAAAAUCGGGUAGCUUAACUAUCUGUAUGCUAGGAAUACUGCUAUACUAGAGGGCGGGAGAGGUCUGAGGUACUACAGGGGUAGGGGUGAAAUCUUAUAAUCCUUGUAGGACCACCAGUGGCGAAGGCGUCAGACUGGAACGCGCCUGACGGUGAGGGACGAAAGCCAGGGGAGCGAACCGGAUUAGAUACCCGGGUAGUCCUGGCCGUAAACGAUGCAUACUAGGUGAUGGUACGGCCAUGAGCCAUAUCAGUGCCGUAGGGAAACCGUUAAGUGUGCCGCCUGGGAAGUACGGUCGCAAGGCUAAAACUUAAAGGAAUUGGCGGGGGAGCACCACAAGGGGUGAAGCCUGCGGUUCA
rnacentral:rRNA from 1 species